AACAGAAACGAAAUCUGAAAACAAAGCAAAAGCGGUGAGUCCCACAUUCGACGGACAGAGAGAUCUGCCCACUCCAAGUGUUUAUGGCUUCCUGGGUAUAAUUAGGGCAACCCACGUGGGGCUCAAAUGGAUGGGCUGAGACUAUCUGAUGCCACUAAUUACUGUUUAUUGGGUUUUGCCUGUGUCACGAGCAUUCUCACUGUGAGAGGCCUUGAGGUACGAGAGGAACGGGAAACCACCUUGGUGGUGAUGUGCUCCUCAGGAACGCGCUGGCUGGUGCGCACAACGCCCAAAGGUGCUGCUGGACCAGAGUGGGAAAGACACCCACUCCGUGUGGCCGGGGACCCACGGAGCUCAGCCAGUGUUGGGAUGUAGGGAGGCUCUGUGGGUUUACGGCCGAGCCUCAGGCACGUGAGAGCUUCCUCCGACUGCAGAAAUGAAACUCCGGAGCCCUCCCUGUCCGGGGUCAAGUUCCCACGAGACACGGGUCUGGGAAGACGGAAUAAAACACAAAGGCUUUUGUUUUCAGAGCCUGUCGCAACAGCAUCGCUGAAGAAGGAAUGCGAUGUGUGCCCCAUACGAGGAAGGGAAGAACAGCCUUGAACGUAUUCCUGACUCAAAAGCACUGUGGGGACAGUCCCACGGCCAGAGGUGACGGAGGUGGGCCAGCCGCUGAGGACCCGGGACCAUGGACGUCUCCGUUCUCAGCACACAGACCCUUCCGACCGCACGCAGCCCGUUUUGCAUGACGUCACUUCUCUGGGUCACUGUUAUGUCAAGGGUCCAGACUAAGCCCUCCCCCACCCCCCAUGGAAGCCUGAGACCCUGAUUGCAUCUUGGAAGAUGCCCCUGUGUCUGAAAUAUCAUUCUCUGCAGAAGGGGACGGAAUGUCCUUGGGAGGAAGAUACAGAAGCGAUCGGUUUCUCUGUUCACCCUGCAAGUCCGGUUCAGAACAGCCAUAGGCAAUCGGGGCAUAGUCCUCAGUAAAUGCAGAUCACACUGGAAGUUUCCAGUAUGUGCUCUGAAAACAUCCCAUCCCAUCGCUCACAAGAACAGAGAGAUAGAUCCCACAUUAUCUGCAGAAAGCAGGAAUGAUGCCCGUGGCUCACGCCUGGAAUCAAACCCAGAUAUGUGACCGCGAAGUAUGCUUCGUGCACCAGCGAGCAGUGCAAGACUUUUCCGGGGACGGUGGAAAGCUGUAGUUUACCUGAAGUUCUUCGACUCUCCCCCAAAAUGCAUUCGAUCGGUGAAUAUGAGUGAAGCCAGAAGAAUCUUCACCUCAUCCAUUUUCCUGAACAUCACCUCCUGGACUUGUCAGAGCCACCCACACAGGGACUUUCGCCACCUACGGUCAACCCCACCCCGGCACUUCCUGCUGGUGUUUGCAGACAAACCUGUCUGAGUUCUACUCAGUCUUGAUGUGUAAACAAGGCAUGGCUUGAGGUUUUGGGAGUUCAGGGUGGGUUUCGUUGUUUUUUGUAUUAAUAAAACAGGUUUAAAGAAA